rnacentral:rRNA from 1 species
UACGGAGGGCGCAAGCGUUGCUCGGAAUUACUGGGCGUAAAGCGCGUGCAGGCGGUCGAGUAAGUCGGUUGUGAAAUCCCCAGGCUCAACCUGGGAACUGCAUCCGAAACUGCUCGGCUAGAGUCCCGGAGAGGGAGGCGGAACUCCCAGUGUAGGGGUGAAAUCCGUAGAUAUUGGGAAGAACACCGGCGGCGAAAGCGGCCUCCUGGACGGUGACUGACGCUGAGACGCGAAAGCGUGGGGAGCAAACAGG